AACGAACGCUGGCGGCAUGCCUAACACAUGCCAGUCGAACGAGACCUUCGGGUCUAGUGGCGCACGGGUGCGUAACGCGUGGGAACCUGCCCUUAGGUUCGGAAUAACUCCCCGAAAGGGGUGCUAAUACCGGAUAAUGUCUUCGGACCAAAGAUUUAUCGCCUUUGGAUGGGCCCGCGUUGGAUUAGCUAGUUGGUAGGGUAAAAGCCUACCAAGGCGACGAUCCAUAGCUGGUCUGAGAGGAUGAUCAGCCACACUGGGACUGAGACACGGCCCAGACUCCUACGGGAGGCAGCAGUGGGGAAUAUUGGACAAUGGGCGAAAGCCUGAUCCAGCAAUGCCGCGUGAGUGAUGAAGGCCUUAGGGUUGUAAAGCUCUUUUACCCGGGAUGAUAAUGACAGUACCGGAAGAAUAAGCUCCGGCUAACUCCGUG
rnacentral:rRNA from 1 species